rnacentral:rRNA from 1 species
GAUGAACGCUGGCGGCGUGCCUAACACAUGCAAGUCGAGCGAGAUCUAUCGGAACAAAACUUCGGUCUAGUGAAGAUAGUGGAAGCGGCGGACGGGUGAGUAACGCGUAGGCAACCUGCCCCAUACAGAGGGAUAGCCUCGGGAAACCGGGAUUAAAACCUCAUAACGCGAAUUUAUCACAUGGUUUAUUCGCCAAAGAUUUAUCGGUAUGGGAUGGGCCUGCGUCUGAUUAGCUAGUUGGUGAGGUAACGGCUCACCAAGGCCACGAUCAGUAGCCGACCUGAGAGGGUAGACGGCCACAUUGGAACUGAGACACGGUCCAAACUCCUACGGGAGGCAG